CCCCGCGGCUUCAAACUGUCCGGCGGGAGCGAUGGCGGCGGAGGCUGCGGCUGCACCCCCCCGGCGGGUUCAGGUCUGCGUCCGCCUGCGCCCCGGCCCCCCCGGUGAGGAGCCCUGCCUGCUGCCCCUCGACUGCCACACCCUGCAGCUGCGUGAGGACCCCCCCCACGCCCCCUCCUGCUACCGCUUCGAUGCUGUUUACGCCGCCGCCAGCUCCACCGCCGC